UGGGGAAUAUUGGGCAAUGGGGGAAACCCUGACCCAGCAACGCCGCGUGAGGGAAGAAGGUCUUCGGAUUGUAAACCUCUUUUACCAGGGAAGAAGAAAGUGACGGUACCUGGAGAAAAAGCCACGGCUAACUACGUGCCAGCAGCCGCGGUAAUACGUAGGUGGCAAGCGUUGUCCGGAUUUACUGGGUGUAAAGGGCGUGUAGGCGGGAAGACAGGUCAGAUGUGAAAUGCCGGGGCUCAACUCCGGAGCUGCAUUUGAAACCGUUUUUCUUGAGUAUCGGAGAGGCAGGCGGAAUUCCUAGUGUAGCGGUGAAAUGCGUAGAUAUUAGGAGGAACACCAGUGGCGAAGGCGGCCUGCUGGACGACAACUGACGCUGAGGCGCGAAAGCGUGGGGAGCAAACA
rnacentral:rRNA from 1 species